GAGAAGGAUGAAGCGAAAGUAAAAUUUCGUGGAGGUCCGAACCCACGAGCGUUGAAAAGCUCGGGGAUGACUUGUGGGUAGCGGUGAAAUUCCAAUCGAGCCCGGAGAUAGCUGGUUCUCCCCGAAAGAGCUUUAGGGCUAGCCUCAAGGUGAGAGAUACGGAGGUAGAGCACUGAAUGUCCUAGGGGGUAUUGCACCUACCGAAGACUAUCAAACUCCGAAUGCCGUCAUCUUAUACUUGGGAGUCAGACUGUGGGUGAUA
rnacentral:rRNA from 1 species